UUGGUAAGCAUGUGACUGACAAAGUGGCGGUGAAUAAACUAGAAAUUAGCUUACUUACCUGUGAAUAUCAUCUGUAUUCUGAGUUAUUUUCAUUUAUUAAGGUAAUGAUGGAUUUAUUCUGGGAAAUUAGAACAGUAGAGGUUGAGUAAAAGUGUUUCUACUCCCAUUUGCAUGUGAUAAGGCCUCAAUGUAAGGGCUUUGUAUGUAAAUUUUGGUGAAAUGAAUACAAUGAAGGAAUAUCUCUUUUUCAGUGGACCUUAUUCUCCAUCUCAACCAUGACUCUUCGUUAAGACUGAAGCUUGUGACAUUUCGCUUGGAAGUACCCUUGAAGGACUGAGUAAGGUGGGAAUACGGCUCAGGAAAAGGAAUAUAAAAUGCUUUUGAGGAGAUCUUCUGAUAAUGAGUGGGAUGACUUAGGAGAUGAAGCCCCGGCUACGUGCAGGGAAAGGGACUCACACAUUUCAAAAUGUGUGACUUAUGGAAAAGGAGAUUUGGGUUACUGCAUCGUGGAAAACAAACCAGUGAGAACAGGAGAACACCUGUCCAGGGUUCUGCAUGAACAAGUAAGUCGAUUAAAUUCUGACUAAAAGAGUUUUCAAUAUAUAAUUUGAAGAAUAUAUACUCUGUGCAACAGUGAGAGGUAAUAAAGAUUUCACAUGGAUAAAUUCAUUUUCUGAAAAAGUUAGUAGAGCAAUGAGGAAACCUGAAAGAUUCUGAGUUUUAAAGAUUUCCUUUGAAUAACGUAAUAUGAAUAAAAUUUUAGGGCCAUGGUCUCGAGCAAGAGAAAUAAACCCAUAUUUACUCUGUUAUUUAAAUUCUUUUAAUUUAAUUAAAUAUGAAAAUAAGGAUCUUUGCAAGGUAGUUAAGAGUAAUUAUGCUUAGUUAUUAUUGGCUAAAUUGGGCUUUUAAUGAUUUACUUAAAAUUUAACCCACAUCCCCUUGGAAAAAUUGGCAUUUCGAAUCAUUCAUCUGGCAGUUGAAACCACAGGGCUAAAUUGCAUUUAAACAAUGUCUUGUUAUAGGCCCAUGGUUAAACUGGGAAUUGUAAAUAAUUCCAAGGCAAUGUUUGAAACAGCAAAUAGAAAUGCCCUUAGGAGUCAUAUACAUUUUUGUUCUUCAUUUCCACAUUAAACCUUUUUACCUGAAAUAUUCAUAUUCUCUAAAGACAAGGCAAAUAUGUCUGAUAAAAAAUAAGCC
rnacentral:lncRNA from 1 species